rnacentral:rRNA from 1 species
UACAGAGGUCCCAAGCGUUGUUCGGAUUCAUUGGGCGUAAAGGGUGCGUAGGCGGCGCGGUAAGUCGGAUGUGAAAUCUCGGAGCUUAACUUCGAAACUGCAUUCGAUACUGCCGUGCUUGAGGACUGGAGAGGAGACUGGAAUUUACGGUGUAGCGGUGAAGUGCGUAGAUAUCGUAAGGAAGACCAGUGGCGAAGGCGGGUCUCUGGACAGUUCCUGACGCUGAGGCACGAAGGUCAGGGGAGCAAACGGG